GGAGCUUGCUCCACCGAAAGAAAAAGAGUGGCGAACGGGUGAGUAACACGUGGGUAACCUGCCCAUCAGAAGGGGAUAACACUUGGAAACAGGUGCUAAUACCGUAUAACACUAUUUUCCGCAUGGAAGAAAGUUGAAAGGCGCUUUUGCGUCACUGAUGGAUGGACCCGCGGUGCAUUAGCUAGUUGGUGAGGUAACGGCUCACCAAGGCAACGAUGCAUAGCCGACCUGAGAGGGUGAUCGGCCACACUGGGACUGAGACACGGCCCAGACUCCUACGGGAGGCAGCAGUAGGGAAUCUUCGGCAAUGGACGAAAGUCUGACCGAGCAACGCCGCGUGAGUGAAGAAGGUUUUCGGAUCGUAAAACUCUGUUGUUAGAGAAGAACAAGGAUGAGAGUAAAAUGUUCAUCCCUUGACGGUAUCUAACCAGAAAGCCACGGCUAACUACGUGCCAGCAGCCGCGGUAAUACGUAGGUGGCAAGCGUUGUCCGGAUUUAUUGGGCGUAAAGCGAGCGCAGGCGGUUUCUUAAGUCUGAUGUGAAAGCCCCCGGCUCAACCGGGGAGGGUCAUUGGAAACUGGGAGACUUGAGUGCAGAAGAGGAGAGUGGAAUUCCAUGUGUAGCGGUGAAAUGCGUAGAUAUAUGGAGGAACACCAGUGGCGAAGGCGGCUCUCUGGUCUGUACUGACGCU
rnacentral:rRNA from 1 species